rnacentral:rRNA from 1 species
CAAUAGCGUAUAUUAAAGUUGUUGCAGUUAAAAAGCUCGUAGUUGGAUUUGUGGUUCGUCCCGCCGGCUGGGUCAUUGACUUUUGCUGUGCUGGUCGUCCAUCCUUGGGUGGAAUCUGUGUGGCAUUAGGUUGUCGCGCAGGGGAUGCCCAUCGUUUACUGUGAAAAAUUAGAGUGUUCAAAGCAGGCUUAUGCCGUUGAAUAUAUUAGCAUGGAAUAAUGAUAUAGGACCUUGGUACUAUUUUGUUGGUUUGCGCAUCGAGGUAAUGAUUAAUAGGGACAGUUGGGGGUAUUCGUAUUCCAUUGUAAGAGGUGAAAUUCUUGGAUUUUUGGAAGACGAACUACUGCGAAAGCAUUUACCAAGGAUGUUUUCAUUAA